AGCACGACCUCCAUCCACCAUUCCCGCCGUUUCUUCUCGCCACCAGACACCUUUCCACCGUCGCCCACUGUCAUCUCCGUUCACUCUGCUCAGCGCGGUCUCUUCUUUUCUGCUCUAAUCAGUCGGCCACAAAAGACAUCAGCAUCAUCUGGAUCGAGCUUGCUCCUCCGACUGCCAUUUCCCAGCCCACCGCGACAGCAGCAGCGACGCCGCGACGGCUCUGCCCUCCUCGGCGCGACAGUAGCAGCAGUGCAGCAGUUGAUAAUGGCAUUCUCCCCUCCUGAAGUCUCCUCAACAAUGCCCAAUGCAAUAACAUCUCAAAACUCCAUUGACAAUCAACAUUCAACGGAUGAUCAUAUUGUUACAAAUACUGACAUUCAAGGUGGAAGUGGAGAUGGUGAAACAGGUGGGAGUGCAGAUGGUGAAACAGGAGGAGCAGAAGAUGAUUUGCACUUUCAGCCGAAGAAGAGACAAAAGACUUCGAAAGUUUGGUUGGAGUUCAAUGUAAUUGAUGCUGUCAAUAAAGCCGAGUGCAAUCAUAUCAAAUCUAGACUAUCGAUUUUGAAGAGCAAGAGUACUACCCACCUCUCAAGACACUUG